UCGUAACAAGGUCUCCGUUGGUGAACCAGCGGAGGGAUCAUUACCGAGUUUUCAACUCCCUAACCCUUAUGUGAACCUACCUAUUGUUGCUUCGGCGGACUCGCCCCAGCCGGACGCGGACUGGACCAGCGGCCGCCGGGGACCCUCAAACUCUUGUAUUAUCAGCAUCUUCUGAAUACGCCGCAAGGCAAAACAAAUAAAUCAAAACUUUCAACAACGGAUCUCUUGGCUCUGGCAUCGAUGAAGAACGCAGCGAAAUGCGAUAAGUAAUGUGAAUUGCAGAAUCCAGUGAAUCAUCGAAUCUUUGAACGCACAUUGCGCCCGCCAGCAUUCUGGCGGGCAUGCCUGUUCGAGCGUCAUUUCAACCCUCGACCUCCCUUUGGGGAAGUCGGCGUUGGGGACCGGCAGCACACCGCCGGCCCUGAAAUAGAGUGGCGGCCCGUCCGCGGCGACCUCUGCGUAGUAAUCCAACUCGCACCGGAACCCCGACGCGGCCACGCCGUAAAACACCCAACUUCUGAACGUUGACCUCGAAUCAGGUAGGACUACCCGCUGAACUUAAGC
rnacentral:rRNA from 1 species